rnacentral:rRNA from 1 species
GGCGGACGGGUGAGUAACGCGUGGAUAACCUGCCUCAUACAGGGGGAUAACAGUUAGAAAUGACUGCUAAUACCGCAUAAGCGCACGGGAUCGCAUGUUCCUGUGUGAAAAACUCCGGUGGUAUGAGAUGGAUCCGCGUCUGAUUAGCUAGUUGGCGGGGUAACAGCCCACCAAGGCGACGAUCAGUAGCCGGCCUGAGAGGGUGAACGGCCACAUUGGGACUGAGACACGGCCCAAGCUCCUACGGGAGGCAGCAGUGGGGGAUAUUGCACAAUGGGGGAAACCCUGAUGCAGCGACGCCGCGUGAGUGAAGAAGUAUUUCGGUAUGUAAAGCUCUAUCAGCAGGGAAGAUAAUGACGGUACCUGACUAAGAAGCACCGGCUAAAUACGUGCCAGCCGCCGC